GAUAAACGCUGGCGGCGUGCCUAACACAUGCAAGUCGAACGCCCUGGAGCAAUUCAGGGAGUGGCGGACGGGUGAGGAACACGUGGGUGAUCUGCCUUGAGGUGAGGAAUACCGGCGAGAAUCGCCGACAAUACCGCAUAGGUUCGUAAGAACAAAGUCGCAAGACGCCUUGAGAUGAGCCUGCGUCCGAUUAGCCAGUUGGUGGGAAUGG
rnacentral:rRNA from 1 species